AACAGGUUGAUAUUCCUGUACUCGUUGUUUUCGUUUGAGCAAUGGAGGGACGCAGGAGGCUAGGAAAAGCAGACGAAUGGAAAGGUCUGUCUAAGCAGUGAGUUUUGUGAUGAGUCAAAUGCUUGUCACUUUAAGAAUGAGCUGUGAUGGGGAGGUUGAUCUUGAAUCGACCGAGUUUCUGAUGUCACACUGUCAAGAAAAGCUUCUAGCGAGAAAACAACGACCCGUACCGCAAACCGACACAGGUAGUCGAGGCGAGUAGCCUCAGGUGAGCGAGAGAACUCUCGUUAAGGAACUCGGCAAAAUGACCCCGUAACUUCGGGAGAAGGGGUGCUGACUUUAAGUCAGCCGCAGUGAAUAGGCCCAAGCAACUGUUUAUCAAAAACACAGCUCUCUGCUAAAUCGUAAGAUGAUGUAUAGGGGGUGACGCCUGCCCGGUGCUGGAAGGUUAAGAGG
rnacentral:rRNA from 1 species